GAUGAGCUAUAUAGUAAAAGAGUAACAACGAGGGAACCGUACCCUCUCAGUUUUCUACGAGGCCGAAGUUUUGAAUUCGCAGAGAGGAGAAUCCGAGCAGAGAUUUCGACGUAGCUUCUUCGCAGGAUUGGAAGAAGCAACAGAAGAGUAACUCGGCGGAGAGGAGAGUGCGGCGCAGGUGCUGUAGAUUUACGCCUCUCGGGAUUCUCUCGGAGAUAGUGUGACCUAAUUCCGGCUCUUAACGAGUCUCCAGCGACUGAAGGAGAAGAAGAAGAAGAAGAAGAAACAUGGGAGAGCGGAAGGUUCUGAACAAGUACUAUCCUCCGGACUUCGAUCCGGCGAAGCUGCCACGCGCCCGCAGACCAAAGAAUCAGCAGAUUAAGGUCCGGAUGAUGCUUCCCAUGAGCAUCAGAUGCAACACCUGCGGUAAUUACAUCUACAUGGGGACGAAAUUCAACUCACGCAAAGAAGAUGUCGUCGGCGAGGUUCGCUAUUCUAUUCUCCUUCUUUUGUCAAUUUUUCUAGGGUUUAUUGUGAUCGAAGUCCUGGUUUGUUGCGUAUGGCGUUCUUAUUGUUGGUAUUAUUGUAUUUCUGCAGACGUAUUUGGGUAUACAAAUAUUUCGAUUCUACUUUAAGUGUACGAGAUGCUCGGCCGAGCUUGCGAUGAAGACUGAUCCUCAGAAUUCCGAUUACAUCGUGGAGAGCGGGGCGACGAGGAAUUAUGAGCCGUGGCGUAAAGAGGAUGAGGAAUUGGACGGCUUGAAACGGAAGAGAGAUGCUGAGGAGAUGGGUGAUGCGAUGAAGGCUUUGGAGAACAGGACGUUGGAUUCCAAACGGGAGAUGGAUACUUGAGGAUGAUACUAUGACUUAUUAGGCUUUUUUCAUAGGCAAAGUAGUUGUUUAUUGAAUUGUUAUCGUGUGUAUAUGAAAACUGUAAAUAUCAUUAUGAACAAAAAAUCAAGUAUUUCUUUUUCAGUAUACACCGCUAGUCACUAAUUCAACAGUUCUUCAAUCAUUCAAUUGCGAACUGAUCAAAUUGUAAGAGUUUCGACUUAGUUCAAGGAAGAUUUUGGAGUAGGAUUAGUACUUUAAGUAAGAUUAGUAGGUAGUUUUGGAGUAGGAUUAGUACUUGAUUUUGAUUUUUUAAAAUAAAAAAGGCUCCAAUGAUUAAUAAACAAAAGUAGACUGAUUGAUUUGUAAAAUAGACCAAAUUAGAUGAGCUAUAUAGUAAAAGAGUAACAACGAGGGAACCGUACCCUCUCAGUUUUCUACGAGGCCGAAGUUUUGAAUUCGCAGAGAGGAGAAUCCGAGCAGAGAUUUCGACGUAGCUUCUUCGCAGGAUUGGAAGAAGCAACAGAAGAGUAACUCGGCGGAGAGGAGAGUGCGGCGCAGGUGCUGUAGAUUUACGCCUCUCGGGAUUCUCUCGGAGAUAGUGUGACCUAAUUCCGGCUCUUAACGAGUCUCCAGCGACUGAAGGAGAAGAAGAAGAAGAAGAAGAAACAUGGGAGAGCGGAAGGUUCUGAACAAGUACUAUCCUCCGGACUUCGAUCCGGCGAAGCUGCCACGCGCCCGCAGACCAAAGAAUCAGCAGAUUAAGGUCCGGAUGAUGCUUCCCAUGAGCAUCAGAUGCAACACCUGCGGUAAUUACAUCUACAUGGGGACGAAAUUCAACUCACGCAAAGAAGAUGUCGUCGGCGAG
rnacentral:lncRNA from 1 species